rnacentral:rRNA from 1 species
AGAGUUUGAUCCUGGCUCAGGACGAACGCUGGCGGCGCGCCUAACACAUGCAAGUCGAACGAGCGAGAGAGAGCUUGCUUUCUCGAGCGAGUGGCGAACGGGUGAGUAACGCGUGAGGAACCUGCCUCAAAGAGGGGGACAACAGUUGGAAACGACUGCUAAUACCGCAUAAGCCCACAGGUCGGCAUCGACCAGAGGGAAAAGGAGCAAUCCGCUUUGAGAUGGCCUCGCGUCCGAUUAGCUAGUUGGUGAGGUAACGGCCCACCAAGGCAACGAUCGGUAGCCGGACUGAGAGGUUGAACGGCCACAUUGGGACUGAGACACGGCCCAGACUCCUACGGGAGGCAGCAGUGGGGAAUAUUGCACAAUGGGGGAAACCCUGAUGCAGCGACGCCGCGUGGAGGAAGAAGGUCUUCGGAUUGUAAACUCCUGUUGUUGAGGAAGAUAAUGACGGUACUCAACAAGGAAGUGACGGCUAACUACGUGCCAGCAGCCGCGGUAAAACGUAGGUCACAAGCGUUGUCCGGAAUUACUGGGUGUAAAGGGAGCGCAGGCGGGAAGACAAGUUGGAAGUGAAAUCCAUGGGCUCAACCCAUGAACUGCUUUCAAAACUGUUUUUCUUGAGUAGUGCAGAGGUAGGCGGAAUUCCCGGUGUAGCGGUGGAAUGCGUAGAUAUCGGGAGGAACACCAGUGGCGAAGGCGGCCUACUGGGCACCAACUGACGCUGAGGCUCGAAAGUGUGGGUAGCAAACAGGAUUAGAUACCCUGGUAGUCCACACCGUAAACGAUGAUUACUAGGUGUUGGAGGAUUGACCCCUUCAGUGCCG